rnacentral:misc_RNA from 1 species
ACAAACUUGGUCAUUUAGAGGAAGUAAAAGUCGUAACAAGGUCUCCGUUGGUGAACCAGCGGAGGGAUCAUUACCGAGUUUACAACUCCCAAACCCCUGUGAACAUACCUACGUUGCUUCGGCGGAUCACCCUGACCCCUUCGCGGGCGAGGGGCCCGCCAGAGGACACAAACCAAAAUUCAAUUGUAUUCUAUGGCCUAUCUUUAAUUCUGAGUGGAAUUUAUAAAUAAAUCAAAACUUUCAACAACGGAUCUCUUGGCUCUGGCAUCGAUGAAGAACGCAGC